rnacentral:rRNA from 1 species
UACGAAGGGGGCUAGCGUUGCUCGGAAUCACUGGGCGUAAAGCGCACGUAGGCGGAUUGUUAAGUCAGGGGUGAAAUCCUGGAGCUCAACUCCAGAACUGCCUUUGAUACUGGCGAUCUCGAGUCCGGGAGAGGUGAGUGGAACUGCGAGUGUAGAGGUGAAAUUCGUAGAUAUUCGCAAGAACACCAGUGGCGAAGGCGGCAUCCUGGACCAAUUCUGACGCUGAGGAGCGAAAGCCAGGGGAGCAAGCGGG